rnacentral:lncRNA from 1 species
GUUGGCUUGGAAGCUUUCCUUCCUCUCGCUUGUUCAAUGCAUUAGCUAGUUGCCCCAUUUGGGAUUCUAGCUUGGCGAUAGAUUGCGUGUGAGAGUGCACCAAUUGUGUAAUGGUUUCCAAACCUUGAAGGGCGGUCAACACUUUCUCCUCAAAGGCUGUGUUUCUUUGUGGUGGAGGAGGAUUGUGUUGAAAUUGAGUCGAGGGACGGUAGGGAUGAAUAUUUUGUGGGGUUU